UACGUAGGGUGCGAGCGUUGUCCGGAUUUAUUGGGCGUAAAGGGCGCGUAGGCGGUUUCUUAAGUUUGGAGUGACAGUGGGUGGCUUAACUACCCAAGGCCUUUGAAAACUGGGGAACUUGAGGACCAGAGAGGGACAUAGAAUUCCGGGUGGAGUGGUGAAAUGCGUAGAUAUCCGGAGGAAUACCAAAGGCGAAGGCAGUGUCCUGGAGGGUGACUGACGCUGAGGCGCGAAAGCUAGGGGAGCGAACAGG
rnacentral:rRNA from 1 species